rnacentral:rRNA from 1 species
ACGGGGUGCAGCAGGCGCGAACACUUUACAAUGCGGGAAACCGCGAUAAGGGAACCCCGAGUGCCAGCAUCAAAUGUUGGCUGUCCAGAUGAUUAAAAAUCAUUUGUUAGCAAGGGCCGGGCAAGACCGGUGCCAGCCGCCGCGGUAACACCGGCGGCCCGAGUGGUAGCCGUUUUUAUUGGGUCUAAAGGGUCCGUAGCCGGCCUGAUAAGUCCUUUGGGAAAUCUGGUAGCUUAACUGUCAGGCUUCUAAGGGAUACUGUCAGGCUUGGGACCGGAAGAGGUAAGGGGUACUCCAGGGGUAGGAGUGAAAUCUUGUAAUCCCUGGGGGACCAUCUGUGGCGAAGGCGCCUUACCAGAACGGGUCCGACGGUGAGGGACGAAAGCUAGGGGAGCAAACCGGAUUAGAUACCCGGGUAGUCCUAGCUGUAAACGAUGCUCGCUAGGUGUCAGACACGGUGCGACCGUGUUUGGUGCCGCAGGAAGCCGUUAAGCGAGCCACCUGGAAGUACGUCGCAAG